UGGGGAAGUAAUGAUCUGGAGUAUUGGUAGUACAAGGAACAGGUGAUUGACAAGGAGAGGAAGACAGUCAGCAGAACAUUCUGGAAUGUACAGUGGUUAUUGUGGUAGGUGAGCAGGUAUGACAAGGAACAACUUACAGCUUAUUCUAGAGAGACAAAAGAACAACAGUGUGAAUAACAGAGGCAUACCUGGACAUUUCAAUAGACUGCUUGCUGUCUGUAGAAGACUGGUAAGCAGUUGCUGUCUGAC